rnacentral:rRNA from 1 species
GGAAGGAUCAUUAUUGAAAUAAACCUGAUGGGUUGUUGCUGGCUCUCUAGGGAGCAUGUGCACACCUUGUCAUCUUUAUAUCUCCACCUGUGCACUUUUUGUAGACCUUUCAGGUCUAUGUUGCUUCAUUUACCCCAAUGUAUGUUAAUAGAAUGUUGUGCCUAUAUAAUAUAUACAACUUUCAGCAACGGAUCUCUUGGCUCUCGCAUCGAUGAAGAACGCAGCGAAAUGCGAUAAGUAAUGUGAAUUGCAGAAUUCAGUGAAUCAUCGAAUCUUUGAACGCACCUUGCGCUCCUUGGUAUUCCGAGGAGCAUGCCUGUUUGAGUGUCAUUAAUAUAUCAACCUUCUCUUUUUUGAGUUGUUUGGAUGUGGGGGUUUGCUGGCCUCUUAAAUGAUUCAGCUCCCCUGAAAUGCAUUAGCAGAACAACCUGUUCAUUGGCGUGAUAAUUAUCUAUGCUAUUGAAUGUGAGGGCAGUUCAGCUUUCUAACCGUCCUUGGACAAUUCAUCAUUAAUGUGACCUCAAAUCAGGUAGGACUACCCGCUGAACUUAAGCAUAUCAAUAAGCCGGAGGAAAGUGAGGACAGCCCUUUGAAUGUUUGAUCUCAAAUCAGG